rnacentral:rRNA from 1 species
AGUGAACGCUGGCGGUAGGCCUAACACAUGCAAGUCGAACGGCAGCACAGUAAGAGCUUGCUCUUACGGGUGGCGAGUGGCGGACGGGUGAGGAAUACAUCGGAAUCUACUUUUUCGUGGGGGAUAACGUAGGGAAACUUACGCUAAUACCGCAUACGACCUACGGGUGAAAGCAGGGGAUCUUCGGACCUUGCGCGAUUGAAUGAGCCGAUGUCGGAUUAGCUAGUUGGCGGGGUAAAGGCCCACCAAGGCGACGAUCCGUAGCUGGUCUGAGAGGAUGAUCAGCCACACUGGAACUGAGACACUGUCCAGACUCCUACGGGAGGCAGCAGUGGGGAAUAUUGGACAAUGGGCGCAAGCCUGAUCCAGCCAUACCGCGUGGGUGAAGAAGGCCUUCGGGUUGUAAAGCCCUUUUGUUGGGAAAGAAAAGCAGCAGGUUAAUACCCCGCUGUUCCGACGGUACCCAAAGAAUAAGCACCGGCUAACUUCGUG